GACGAACGCUGGCGGCGUGCUUAACACAUGCAAGUCGAACGGAAAGGCCCUGCUUUUGCGGGGUGCUCGAGUGGCGAACGGGUGAGUAACGCGUGAGUAACCUGCCCUUGACUUUGGGAUAACUUCAGGAAACUGGGGCUAAUACCGGAUAGGAGCUCCUGCUGCAUGGUGGGGGUUGGAAAGUUUCGGCGGUUGGGGAUGGACUCGCGGCUUAUCAGCUUGUUGGUGGGGUAGUGGCUUACCAAGGCUUUGACGGGUAGCCGGCCUGAGAGGGUGACCGGCCACAUUGGGACUGAGAUACGGCCCAGACUCCUACGGGAGGCAGCAGUGGGGAAUAUUGCACAAUGGGCGGAAGCCUGAUGCAGCAACGCCGCGUGCGGGAUGACGGCCUUCGGGUUGUAAACCGCUUUCGCCUGUGACGAAGCGUGAGUGACGGUAAUGGGUAAAGAAGCACCGGCUAACUACGUG
rnacentral:rRNA from 1 species